rnacentral:rRNA from 1 species
UCGAGGAUCUUUGGCAAUGAGCGCAAGCUUGACCAAGCGACGCCGCGUGUGCGAUGAAGGCCUUCGGGUUGUAAAGCACUGUCGAGGGGGAUAAAGCCGCAAGGUUGAUUGAUCCCUGGAGGAAGCACGGGCUAAGUUCGUGCCAGCAGCCGCGGUAAGACGAACCGUGCGAACGUUGUUCGGAAUCACUGGGCUUAAAGGGCGCGUAGGCGGCCGACCAUGUCCGGGGUGAAAGCCCCCAGCUUAACUGGGGAAGUGCCUUGGAAACGGGCCGGCUGGAGGGAGGUAGGGGUCGAGGGAACUUCUGGUGGAGCGGUGAAAUGCGUUGAUAUCAGAAGGAACGCCGGUGGCGAAAGCGCUCGACUGGACCUUUUCUGACGCUGAGGCGCGAAAGCUAGGGGAGCAAACGGGAUUAGAUACCCCCGUAGUCC